GGAGCUGACCAUUCUGGAGAGAGGCAUCAUCGUCAUCAUAAGCGCCAUCGUAGAGGAUUUAUUUCAGAGCAUGAUUAUCCUCAAUAGUCUUCAUAUUAUUGACAUCCUCCAAAUGCUCAAAAUGCACCACAUGGAGGAUGUCAAUAAACACAGGUUUGCCUGGAAGACUGACUCGAUCUCCCUGUGUAUUGAAUCUACAAGUCUACAAAUUCAUCAAUCUCUCCAUUAGAUGAUAG